CGCAUAUGCUCUCUAUCUUUUACAGGGAAAUACCCCAGAGAAUUUUGUAUUAAUGCCCCAUAAUGUAAUUACCUGGCGUCUUUUGAUUACUAGUCUUCCCACGGUAAAAUAUGAGCGUGCCUCCUAUUAUCUAUGUGGUGGGGUCACCUCACCCCAGCGACACUAUAUGUAGGGCCCCAGAGAGAGAUAUCCCCCACUCUGGCACUGACACACAGACCACACUCCUACGGGAGGCCGCUGUGAAGAAUAUUGCACUGUGGGCGCACGUCUGAUCCACCCGUGCCGCGUGCGAGAACAAUCCUCUAUGGUGUGUACUCUGCUUUUGUACGGAAAGACACUCUCCUACGUGUAAGAUCUUGACGGCACCGUAAAAAUAGAGAUCGGCUAUCUCCGUGCCCACCCCCGCGGUUAUACAGAAUAUCCACGCGUUCUCCAGACUCUUUGUUUUUAAGGGCUCCAUACGCGGUUUAAUAUCUCAGUGGAGAAAUCUGCUCUCUCAACUAUCACACGGCCAUUGACACUGUUACACUUGAUUUACUAGGAAGUCUCUAAUAUAUGUAGUGUAGCGGAGAUGUGCUUAGAUAUUACGUGGAAUACCUUGUGCGAGCGCGGGUUACUACUAGUGUAUUGACU
rnacentral:rRNA from 1 species